CGUUGGUAAACGAAUUCGGAAAUUGUAUUAUCGAAAUUGGCAAUAAUCUUUGGCCGUAUUUGGCAUUACCCACAAUUACCAUAUUAUUCUAUUUGUUAUGAUGUGUAGAUUACAUUGUUUACACUUGCAGCUAACGAUUUAAAACUUACAAGUUACUUCUUAGAACUGUGUUAAUCAUUGUGAUUUAUAUACCUUAGUGUACAUUCAAAUUUCAAAUUCUAACCUAUUGUGUACAAUCUCACAAUUAAACAUGAAAAAUUACAGAGAUCAUUAUAGGACCACUCAGAUGAACCCAAUGAUGUUUAGAAAUUAUUUCUACAAUAGGAAGAAUCGGAACAAUGUCACAUCAGAUUCUGGGGUAUCUGGGAAUUCAGUAAGUACUUAUUUAGUUUUUAUAAACAUAUUCUUUUGACGUGACAAUGUCUUAUAAAUUGGUUUGCCGGGUGACACUUCAAGAAACUGCGUUACGCUCCGCUCACGUUAUGCGCUCACAAUGAGAGCGAGUGAGAAGCACGCGUCCCUUCCACUCGGGCAUGGUUAGCCCGCUUAAGAGCGAGAGAGACAGACAUAAAAAGCCGU